AUUGAACGCUGGCGGCAGGCUUAACACAUGCAAGUCGAGCGGAGUGAUGGUGCUUGCACUAUCACUUAGCGGCGGACGGGUGAGUAAUGCUUAGGAAUCUGCCUAUUAGUGGGGGACAACAUCUCGAAAGGGAUGCUAAUACCGCAUACGUCCUACGGGAGAAAGCAGGGGAUCACUUGUGACCUUGCGCUAAUAGAUGAGCCUAAGUCGGAUUAGAUAGUUGGUGGGGUAAAGGCCUACCAAGGCGACGAUCUGUAGCGGGUCUGAGAGGAUGAUCCGCCACACUGGGACUGAGACACGGCCCAGACUCCUACGGGAGGCAGCAGUGGGGAAUAUUGGACAAUGGGGGGAACCCUGAUCCAGCCAUGCCGCGUGUGUGAAGAAGGCCUUAUGGUUGUAAAGCACUUUAAGCGAGGAGGAGGCUCUUUUGGUUAAUACCCAGGAUGAGUGGACGUUACUCGCAGAAUAAGCACCGGCUAACUCUGUGCCAGCAGCCGCGGUAA
rnacentral:rRNA from 1 species